rnacentral:rRNA from 1 species
AUUGAACGCUGGCGGCAGGCCUAACACAUGCAAGUCGAGCGAGCGGCGGACGGGUGAGUAAUGCCUGGGAAUUGCCCAGUCGAGGGGGAUAACAGUUGGAAACGACUGCUAAUCCCGCAUACGAUUGGAUUGCCCAGGUGGGAUUAGCUAGUUGGUGAGGUAAUGGCUCACCAAGGCGACGAUCCCUAGCUGGUCUGAGAGGAUGAUAAGCACCACUUGAACUGAGACACGGUCCAGACGCCUACGGUAGGCAGCAGUGGGGAAUAUUUCACAAUGGGGGAAACGCUGAUGGAGCAAGGCCGCGUGUGUGAAGAAGGCCUUCGGGUUGUAAAGCACUUUCAGCGAGGAGGCGUUAAUCGCAGAAGAAGCACAGGCUAACUCCGUGCCAGCCGCCGCGGUAAUUC